rnacentral:rRNA from 1 species
CUACGGAAGGCAGCAGUGGGGAAUUUUGCGCAAUGGGCGAAAGCCUGACGCAGCAACGCCGCGUGGAGGAUGAAGGUUUUCGGAUCGUAAACUCCUGUCAGGGGGGACGAAGGCGGGGCAACCCGUUUGACUGUACCCUCUGAGGAAGCCACGGCUAACUCCAUGCCAGCAGCCGCGGUAAUACGGAGGUGGCAAGCGUUGUUCGGAAUUACUGGGCGUAAAGGGCGCGUAGGCGGCUUGGCAAGUCAGAUGUGAAAGCCCCGGGCUUAACCUGGGAAUUGCAUCUGAAACUGCUUUGCUUGAGUCCUGGAGGGGGUAGUGGAAUUCCCAGUGUAGCGGUGAAAUGCGUAGAUAUUGGGAGGAACACCGGCGGCGAAGGCGGCUACCUGGACAGUGACUGACGCUGAGGCGCGAAAGCUAGGGGAGCGAACGGGAUUAGAUACCCCUGUAU